AUACCUUUCUCGGCCUUUUGGCUAAGAUCAAGUGUAGUAUCUGUUCUUAUCAGUUUAAUAUCUGAUAUGUGGGCCAUGUGCCCACAACGAUAUUAAAUUUAUUUUUUAUGGGGGAGGGCCCACCACAGUAGCUUGCUGCUGGGGCCCUUGCGUGUCGCCCAGGCGUUGCACUGCUGCCUGGGCCGGCGCACCCCAC
rnacentral:snRNA from 12 species